AUGUACCCCGAACACUCCGGUUUCUCCGCGCCGUCCGCGACCAGCUGACGAUUGCUCGCUACGCGUUGUUAGUC
rnacentral:sRNA from 1 species